ensembl:lncRNA
UCGUUUGGCCUUGUAGAUCCUGAUCCAUAUGGAAUAGGGCUCUGUGUGUCAUUUGUUUGGCCAUGUUCCGAUUUUCUUUCACAGAUUGAAAAAAUGGGGGGGAAAACACUCAUAUCUGAAGGUUUUAGUAGAAUACAUACAUGAUGCUUUAUGGCCAUAAUCAGCAGACUCCUUUCUGCAUGUAGCUUAAUUCCAGUAUAAGCCUUAAUCCAUAUGUUUCUUUCUGCUGCACACAUUAAUUUGAUUGAUCCAUUAUAUGAACUACUUUGUUGUUAAUAUUUAAAAGGUUAUUGCCAGAAGAUUGUGUCAUCAACAUCAUCGCUACAGCAACCACCACCUCUGUUUAUGUCCUAUAGCAAUACAUUUAGUUUACUUAGAACAUUUAUCUUUGAUUCUUGUAAUGGCACCACCACUUACCAGUGGACUUUCCAUCUGCAAAUCAAAAAAUGGCUUUAAAUUAAAGAGUAUGGUUUUAUUUACAACAUGAACAUAAGUUAUUCCAUUUUAGAGAAGAGUCUUCCAACAAUAUCAGGUCAGAUUUAAAUCACAGGCAUGCCUACAAGCCAAGAAAUCCAUUUCAGAUAUAUUAAAUGUGGUUCAAAUCAAGUUUCUAGACAGACUGGCAGACGAGUCAGGCAGGCAGGCAGACAAGGAGUCAGGCAGGCAGACAAGGAGUCAGGCAGGGAGUCAGGCAGGCAAGGAGGCAGGCAGGCAGGGAAGGAGGCAGGCAGGCAGGCAGGGAAGGAGGCAGGCAGGCAGGCAGGGAAGCAGGCAGGCAGGCAGGGAAGCAGGCAGGCAGGCAGGCAGGGAAGCAGGCAGGCAGGCAGGCAGGGAAGGAGGCAGGGAAGGAGGCAGGCAGGGAAGGAGGCAGGCAGGGAAGGAGGCAGGCAGAGACCAGCAUCAGAUCAACAGGGCCUGCCCCUAAACACUAUUUACUUCACACUGGCCUAUAACCUUUGGGCCAGUCAACUUUUCCACAGUAACAACAACAUCCCUGGUUGAUGCAAUAGGCUUGAAACUUCACAGACCAACUUACUGCCUUUGACAAAACAAGCGUAAGGAAAGACCUAUAAUUACCCCUUUAGUCGUGAUCUGCUAAACAAAGUAUAUUUACAGUGAUUAUCCACUUCCCUUUGAUUGGAGAGCGUCAUCUAGUUUCACCCCCUUUUCCUGUCACAAUAUCAAUGUCCCAUUCCUGAUUAUGGCCUUGCCACAGCAACUCCCAGUGGGUUUGGGAGAGUUGAAGAGCAGGACAUAUCUUCAGAUACACAUCCUGCCAGGUCACUUCUCCUCCAUACAAUAACCCACUCAUCCAGGAAGUCAGUUAGAACAUCCACAUUCUGAGAACCCCUCUCAGGUCGAUGACCACAACUGAGACUCCCAGAGCAAACAGUCACUAGGCCACGACGAGGCUAGGGCCCCUCCCAAUCACCAUGAAGAGGGUUAGACAGUAAAAUAAUAAUCAACACAAUAUAUAGCUCUUAAAAACAAUACAGGCCUCAAUAUGCCCAGUGAUUGGGCAACUAGUGAGGUUUUCAUUCCUUCUUGAAAAUGAAAACUGUUUACUCUGGCCUGCACAGCUCUAGAGGAUUCAACUUUGUCCUUCUGCACUUUACAAGUCCAUGACCUUGGCAGGGGAGGGAAGCUCUG